CAUUUUUUGAUGUUUCAGCUGUCACUGAUUUUCACUUUAAUAUAUUCAACAAACAAAUUGGAAGCUACCACGUAUAUGAUUGUCAGAAUUUGAUGAGGUGUACAAAUAAUAACAAAAACUUCUCUGUGCACACCAUCUAUAUAAGUCCAGUGGAUAUACAAAGCUCUUAAGAGGCCCACAGGCCUUAUCGGUCACAUGAUUUAGUACCACUAGUCCCAAGGCCUAUAAAAAUGUAGAAAAAAAUUAUUGAUUGAAUACUAAUAUUCAACAAAAAUACAUACAUGUGUAAGUUUUAAGAACACAUCCUUUUUAAAUGCCCUCGAAAGUGCCUAUAAUGAUGAAAAGCUUUACAUAAGAUAGGCAACAUUAACAAAAUAUGACUAAUUUGGACCCGUCCUCGAGUCAAUACCCGGAGUUGCGAAAUUCACAAUUUUGGUACAUCCUUUUCUGCUUUUCCUAAAUAUGCAUUUAGUUUAUAUAACCAUAUCUGAGCAAACUUCAAGAAGUAUUUCAAAAGAAAACAUAAUUACUAUAAUAAUUUUGGCUCCACCCUGAACCAAACCCUUAACCCCUAGGAUUAUGAAAGUUAAAAAUUUAUUUGAAAGACUACCUACUCAUUCUAAAUAUCUAUUUAGGCCAAGAUAAAUAAAUUGUGUGUUUCCGGUUCCCCGACCGACCCUAAAACAUUUAUCCGCCAAUAUAUAUUCUGGAAGUAAACAAUUCCGGUUUCACUAUUAGAAAUCCUAAUCUCGAUCACUUGCUUGUUUGAGAAAAUACAUAUAUAUCCUAUACGCAAAUGGCAGCGUGCUUGCCAAACACAUCGCUGGCAACAGGACUUGCGCUGCCCAUCGCAUUUUGCGAUUUUUCAGGGGGGAAAUGCGAUAGAAAAUCCGGAAAUGCGACACGGAUAUUUCGUAUUUUAGAUAUCUCGGCGCCAUCUUCAAUGUCAGCUGUUGGCAUCCAAACAGCCUCAGGACUGUUUUACCUGUGCAGAAUGAAUGUGGAUACCCUGUCGCAUGGAAACAAUAAGACUUAGGGGUGUCUUGUUUAUUUGGCAGUUUACACAAGACAAAGGGUUGAUCCUCUAUGUGCAGACUUCCUGAAGCCCCUUCUCCUCCACAUGAGAUUCACUAAAGGACCACCUUGUCAUUCUGGAUUUCAAGAUGAAAAUAGGAUUCUUCAGAGAAUUCUUUGAAAAAUGUUAUGUGAAACUAUGAUUAUGUUUACAGAAAUUAAUCUUCAGUAACUUUGUCAUCAGUGACUUUUUCUGAGUAUUAUAUGUCAUUUACACUAAUAACAUAAUUAAUAAAUAUAUAGAAACUCA